rnacentral:rRNA from 1 species
CAAUAGCGUAUAUUAAAGUUGUUGCAGUUAAAAAGCUCGUAGUUGGAUUUCUGGGAGGGUGCCGCCGUCCGGCGUGUCCGUGUGCAGUGGCGCCCUUCCAUCCUUCUGUUAGCGUCUCUUGGCAUUCAUUUGCUGGUGGCGGGUUCAGAUAUUUUACCUUGAGAAAAUUAGAGUGUUUCAGGCAGGCUAGGCCGGAAUACAUUAGCAUGGAAUAAUGGAAUAGGACUACGGUCUCUUUGUUGGUUUGAGGGACUGCAGUAAUGAUUAAUAGGGAUAGUUGGGGGCAUUAGUAUUUAAUUGUCAGAGGUGGAAUUCUCAGAUUUGUUAAAGACUAACUUAUGCGAAAGCAUUUGCCAAGGAUGUUUUCAUUAA